CGCGGCCUAUCAGCUUGUUGGUGAGGUAAUGGCUCACCAAGGCGACGACGGGUAGCUGGUCUGAGAGGAUGGCCAGCCACAUUGGGACUGAGACACGGCCCAGACUCCUACGGGAGGCAGCAGUGGGGAAUAUUGCGCAAUGGGCGAAAGCCUGACGCAGCGACGCCGCGUGUGGGAUGAAGGCCUUCGGGUUGUAAACCACUGUCGCGAGGGACGAAUGCCCCGCAAGGGGAGUGACGGUACCUCGAAAGGAAGCACCGGCUAACUACGUGCCAGCAGCCGCGGUAAUACGUAGGGUGCAAGCGUUGUCCGGAAUUAUUGGGCGUAAAGAGCUCGUAGGCGGUUUGUCGCGUCUGCUGUGAAAACGCGAGGCUCAACCUCGCGCCUGCAGUGGGUACGGGCAGACUAGAGUGUGGUAGGGGAGAUUGGAAUUCCUGGUGUAGCGGUGGAAUGCGCAGAUAUCAGGAGGAACACCGAUGGCGAAGGCAGAUCUCUGGGCCAUUACUGACGCUGAGGAGCGAAAGCGUGGGGAGCGAACAGGAUUAGAUACCCUGGUAGUCCACGCCGUAAACGUUGGGAACUAGAUGUGGGGUCCAUUCCACGGAUUCCGUGUCGCAGCUAACGCAUUAAGUUCCCCGCCUGGGGAGUACGG
rnacentral:rRNA from 1 species